CGCUUAAGGAUGAGAUGUUUACCAGGCACACACUGUUUCGUCAGUUUGCAGUGCUGACUGAUACAUCCUUCAAUUAUACCAAAGCAAAGCCCUUAUUCGUGCAGUCCAACUCUUACAUGUCAGUGUCCACAUCUUCCAGAAGCGUUGCCAACGGAUCUUCAUUAGAGAACCAGCACAUGUCCGCCAGCAGUGACCAGAUACCCUUUCAAGGUCAGACUCAAUUAUGGGAAAAAGAAGUCUACACACGAAC